AGGGAGAGGUUGAUAAUUGUAAGCCGAAUUUUGGUUAACUAGAUAAAAUUGGAGGCCAGUUUCUGUCAAUUUGAUAAAAUUGCAACAAAUAUGCUAAAAUUGGCCUAAAUUGCCCAAAUUAAAACAAUUUGAUUAAAUUGCAGUUUUGUUAAAAGGUCUUUUUUUUUUUUUAAACACUAGGCCAUUUUUAUACAUUAUUUAAUUCCAAGAGAGCUUAAUUGUACAAAAAUAAAAAUACUGUAUCCAAUUGAACAAAAUAAAUUAUUAAAUACACAUUUGACAUAAUGCAGGUGCCUCCAAAUGCAUCACCAUGGUCGUGCUCAUGAUCAUCACCAUGAUCCUAUAUACAUAAAAUCCCUUGCUCUAACUGUCUGUGUAAUACUGAUUGUAGUUGAGAUAACCCCAGAAACAAGAAAGCCCAAACUUUCCAUGUCUAGGUGACUUGAGGUAACAUAGAUGCAAUUCUUUCAGAUUUUUGUUGAACUUCUGCUUUAUGGAAAGCACCUGGGACAUGUUGAUUCUAGAAAGUUUACCCAGCGAGUCUUCUUGAUACAGUCCCACAUCCCAAAUGCUGGUGGUAAGACAAGACCGAAGGUCCAAGGCACACUGCAAAAUGCUUUCUAUGAUGCUGGCUACAGACCGUGUUUCAUCGGAUAGAAAACAUAUGUUUAGCGAAUCAGUUAGAUAUUCCAUGUGUACUAACUCCAGAUCCAUCAUGUCUUUGACCUUGUACUUUAGGUUGUGAAGAAACCUGCACCAAGAUAUGUGAGACAAUUGUGACUGCACAUACUGUUGUAAGGUAGAGAUAAAAUGAUUGACCUGGUGCCUCAUCUUUAUCAACAUAUUAAAUUGGUUCACUUCCCUUUCAUGUGCUGCAGAGCGACUCCUUUUACUAAUAAAGUGAAUCAAAUCCUUUAAUGAGGACCAUACAUCAGUCAAAGAGAAAACCGCAAGCUUCACUUGAAUCAAAAAAUUGAAUAUAUCAGCAUAAAUUUUCAAUGCACUGGGAGUCAAAACUAUACUGACUGGCCAAUCCACUCGAUAACCCAAACCCAAAAAAUCGAAGGAAUGGACUCCAAUUGCAGAUGUUGAAAGAGGCAUUACGGAAUUUCCCUUUAUAUACACAAACAACCGAUCCUUAUUAGGGUCUCGUUCACAUGAAGACCUCUGAACUGACAACUCGAGGAACCCUUGAAUCACAGAAACUCUCUGAUCUGCCUCCAAAGCACACCAUUUCUGUUGUUUCAAGUGAAAAUGGAACGGAUUUAAAAAGAAUUAAGACAAUUUCCACAAAUAACACAUUAAAGUGAUUAACAAGAAGUACAUGAUGCCAAAGGGACAUGAUAAACAAAUCUGUCCAAUCUGCUACUUCCAUAAAAUAGUACCGUCGCAGUGCCAGUAAAUGUUCAUAUAAAUCAAACCCUUCAAGCAGCUUGAUGGAUAACUUACUAACAUAUUUGUACCUAGGCAUUGUCAAGGGAAUAAAUAACUUUGAACAUGAUUAAUAUGCCAGAAGUACCAUAUUGAGCACAAUAGCAAUUAUUUUCGUAAGUAUGCUUUGAAACAGAGAAGAAUGAUGAGAAUAAGAGUUAAUCAAGGAAUAAGAGAGAACCACAAAUCCAUGAUGUCAGAAAUAUGCAUAAUGCAUUUUGAUUCAAAAUAUCAGAGAAUUUCCGUAACCCCUGUGUUUCAGUAAAAUUAUUCAUGAAAAGAAAACUAUCACUUCCAAAAAGAAACUUCCUUGAGAUUUCAAUCCUUGACACUUUCUCAAUUAACAAAGGAUUCCUGAUUUCUCCAGAAGAGUGGAACAAAAUUUCUUGCAGCAGGCAUUUGUCAAUAAUGAUAUCAAGUGGAAUCUCAAACAUGGCCAACAAACCCUCCUUGUGCUGUCCAGCACUUUCCUUUUCAGUGAAACUAUAAUUACUAAGAAGACUCUCCCAAUUCCUCCCACCUAGAAGAUUUGUUGUAAUAUGACCUUCUUGGUCUUGUUUCUUUGAGUCUAAGGGUGAGCAAGGACAAGACAUUCUGGCAUUAUCAAUCAAAAAACUAUCUCCACCAUAGCCUUGUUUAUCUUUGUCAUGACUCUUACCAGUGGGAUCAGGGGAAGGAAGCUGAGACUCAAAUUCUUGUCCUGAACUGCCAGCUAGCUUCUCCACAGAUACAUUGCAAGGGACUUCUACAGUUGAAAAGUCAAAGCAAGGUAAUGACCGUCCAUACACUGUGCUGCAUUUCUUUCCAGGUUUGUUCGUAAGGUGAAAGAAUGCAUUUUUUCUCAGCAUUGGGUUUCUACUGAAAAAACUGCUGUGGUAAUUAUCCUUCCACGGCUGCAAUGCAGAUGAAUUUGAAGUAUGAAAGCCAUUUGCAAUUUGAUCCUCACCCAAGGACUCUAUUGAAACAUCCAUCGUAGAAGUCAUUUUGCUAAAAUAUGGUAGACCUUCAUUUAUGGAUUCCAUAUCUUCUUUAUUCACUUCUAGGGCCGAGUUCCAUUGGUGUAACCUCCAGUAAGAUCUAUACCCUUCAUCAUCACAAAAUAAAAUAUUUGGAAAGUCAAUUGACCAGCAUUUAUUUGUUAACCAAUCUGUAUAUUGACUAUCAGACAUCCUCGGCAAGUUUGACUCCCUCAAACCUGGUGGCACAAACAUGUGACUGAAAGUUUUUUUAUUAUGAUAGGAUUGCACAAAGUAGCUAAGAGCAUAAUUCUUUAAACAAUCUUGAGGCAAAUUGCUUUCUAAAUCACGAGACAUUUCACUUCGAGGAUUCUUUUGCAAUGUAUUGUCAAUGGGGAUACUCAUGGAAAACCUUAAUGAAGAUAAAUAUCUUUGUUCCUGCCCUACCAAGCUAUUAGGAUGCUCAGACAGUUGCUCAGCAUCAACAUGCUCUUCAGAACCACUUAAAGACGAACACUCAGACACAUCAGAUGUAUCCGACCAAUAGAAUUCAUCUCUUGUAUUAGAGUGACUAGAACCUGUUUGAUCAGCAGCCACAUUUGAGCUGCAUUUGUUAGCUGUUGAAGGGACAAUCAACCCAUCAUUCAAAGUGAAUGAAACUUCACUCUUUAAACUCCCUCCACUGCUGUCAACAAAGAUAGGCAUAGCACCAUGUGGAACUACCUGCUGAUAUCUAAACUCCAACUUUGUCAACAGAUUUUCAAGUUUUUCCAACAAUUUUCUGUAAUGGUUGUUCCUUGCAGUUACCAUAGCUUCUAAAUGUCCUUUGCUGAAAGUCAUUGGAGAUGCACAAAACAAAUCAUCACUUAAAUAUCCACUGCAAAUGGGAAGAAAAUCCUCGUAAGUAUAGUCACCAGGGCCACCAUAAUUGCAUAAUUCAAGCAACUUCUUUAGUACUUGAAGCUGCUGACCAGCCCUUAUAACUGGAAUCAGAAAGUCCUUCAGAAAGCAAGGAACAGCAACUCCAUCCCUAACACUUGCUGAUGGGAAAUCAAAAGGGACGCCAGCAUUACAAUGUAGAUCAGGCGGUGGAUUAUCGAUGCGUUCUACUAUGAACUCCUUAUAUGGAUCACUAGUCUCAGCCCUAAAUAUCCAUGAUCUUAUAAAUUCGCAAUAUGGUUCGCAUGAGCGAAGAAAGAGGAACUCGAGUAGAGCAUGGUGAGCAGGAUCAGCAACCUUUAGUUGCGUAUAUAAGUAUGUAAGAAGAUAUCCUCCUCUGUAGAAGUUAGAAAACUCCAAGACCGCUUUAGCAGUUAACUCCUCUAGAGAAAUCACUGAGAAGGAAAGUGCUAUAUUAUACAGGUUACAUAUGUUUCCAAGAGCUUCAAUCCGAGUCCUCAAUUCCUUUGUGUGCAUAUACACCUCCAAUAGCGUAACUUUAGAAUGCACUAUGCUUGUGAGGCAUGCUUCCUCAUAAGACUCUUGCAAAGCCACAUCAACAAUUUUUGACGAACGCCUCAAUCUUGCCGAUGCAUAUACUGUAUUCAGAGAGCAUAUGUACCCAUCUAAUACCUUUCCUACAGCUACAGCAAAUGCCUGAUUAACUAGACUGUAAGAAAGAUGCUCUUGCUUUUGCACAUUACUGUCAUUUUGGCUUUCACAUACUGAUUCAGAAUGUUCAUACCCAUUUCCUGAUGAACGCACAUCCACAUUCAUAUACAUAAAAUUAUCUACAAAUUUACGGAGAAGAAAUACCAGAGAACCCAAGCAGCCUAUGGAAUUGAGAAUCUUUCCCAAUGCAUGAGUGCUUGAAGACCGGUUCCAUAGACUAGGAAUUUGAUGGUAGGACCUAUCAGCAGGAUCAGAACAAAAUGCAGCAGAAAGCUUUUCGAUACUAAGAAGAGCUGAUUGCAUCCCUUGCAGUGCGUUCAACGCUAAUCUCACUAAACUUGCCUCGGAGACGGAGGAUGGCCGAUGUAGUGGCGGUUGUGGAGGAGAGGAAUUUGGAGGAAGAGAAGAGGAGAGACGAGCGCCAUUUUGAGAAGGAAUGGACUCCCAAGUUGUAGGAGGAAGCCAUGGAUCUUCGACCUUCAGAUUGUCCAACAAGGAAGCAAAGUUGGCGUCCACUGCCAUUUUCGCUUUGAAUUGAUGUAGCACUACUUGCACUAGCAACUGUAGUUUCCCGCAGCCAUGGAUUUUUUUUUUUUU
rnacentral:misc_RNA from 1 species